GGGGAUCCCGCGGGGUCUGUCCCCAGGGAUGGGAUCCGUCCCCAGGGAUGGGAUCCGUCCCCAGGGGCCGAGAUCGGCCCCGCCUUGGGAGGCGCACGGGGCUUGUCUCCGUGUUCUGCCUCCGGGCUGUCGUGUGGGGGAAAGCUGCCUCCUGCUCGGGUUGACAGACGCGGCAACAUCAAGCACCGGUGGCCAAACCGGUGAACGAAACGAAGCCGCAGAGAAACCUCCCUCCACCUCAGCACCUGUCACAGGACCUCCCUUAACACAGCGACUGAGGCUGAAAUACAUACGCGGGCUUUUAGAUUUGCCUUGUUUUUUCAGCCACCUGAGCUCCAUCCCGCACGUCCGGCCGGCAGCGCUGUGACACCGAUUCACUGGAGGGCAUUUCCCCCAACCUAGGAGGGGGGCAUGGUGAGGGCACCACGGCACUUCCCAACAGGUUUCAAACCCCAGACUCCUCCAGACAGUGUCCUUUCAUGUGAACCACUCUUUCUGUAGAUGCGAGUGAGCUAAUUAAUGAUUUACAGUGUUUUGAAGAAAACCAUCAGCAUCCAGAGUACAAAUAACAACAGGAGAACAAAGAGCUCUCAUUCUAUUGAGGAUCCUUCAGGAAGCUGUGAGAAACUGCGUCCUACUUUUAAGCAGCACCAAAACAGCUAACACCAGAAUCCAGGCUGGGAGGAGAGAAGAAACAGCAGCUCAGAUUGUCUCACCUCAGGUA